GUCGAACGGAGUUAUCAUUUUUGAAGCGAUUAGCUUGCUAAGAGUGGAAAAGUUGAUAACUUAGUGGCGGACGGGUGAGUAACGCGUGGGUAACCUGCCUUACACAGGGGGAUAACACUUAGAAAUAGGUGCUAAUACCGCAUAAGCGCACAGUCCCGCAUGGGACAGAGUGAAAAACAUUAGUGGUGUAAGAUGGACCCGCGUCUGAUUAGCUUGUUGGCGGGGUAACGGCCCACCAAGGCGACGAUCAGUAGCCGGCCUGAGAGGGUGGACGGCCACAUUGGGACUGAGACACGGCCCAAACUCCUACGGGAGGCAGCAGUGGGGGAUAUUGGACAAUGGGGGAAACCCUGAUCCAGCGACGCCGCGUGAGUGAAGAAGUAUUUCGGUAUGUAAAGCUCUAUCAGCAGGGAAGAAAGAAAUGACGGUACCUGAGUAAGAAGCCCCGGCUAACUACGUGCCAGCAGCCGCGGUAAUACGUAGGGGGCAAGCGUUAUCCGGAAUUACUGGGUGUAAAGGGAGCGUAGACGGUAAUGCAAGUCUGGAGUGAAAGGCGGGGGCCCAACCCCCGGACUGCUCUGGAAACUGUGUAACUGGAGUGCAGGAGAGGCAGGCGGAAUUCCUAGUGUAGCGGUGAAAUGCGUAGAUAUUAGGAGGAACACCAGUGGCGAAGGCGGCCUGCUGGACUGUAACUGACGUUGAGGCUCGAAAGCGUGGGGAGCAAACAGGAUUAGAUACCCUGGUAGUCCACGCCGUAAACGAUGAUUACUAGGUGUGGGUGGGUAUGGACCCAUCGGUGCCGCAGCAAACGCAGUAAGUAAUCCACCUGGGGAGUACGUUCGCAAGA
rnacentral:rRNA from 1 species